UUUUCAUUUUCAUAGAUAUCGUCACCAUCUCAUCUACAAACAGGGAGAUAAUUAGACGCUUGAGAGAGGGAUUUCACCCCUUGGCCUCCGUGUGAAGAAUUUUGGCAGUUUUUGGAUGCUCUCAGUUUGCUGGGUCACUCCCUUCACAUUAAAUUUGAUGUAAAUAUCGUGUCCUGUGAGCAAGUCCCCCACAAAGUCAUUAAACGCAAAGGUUUCAACGUUAUGAAAUGCUACUUCACCCCCCUUCCUGCUAAAGAAAAUCGAGGAGAAGGCAGAUUUAGGUCACCUCUUCAGAGUUUUCUCAAAUAGAUUGCUGAUUUCUAGGGGAGAUUGCUAGCACUGAAAUUAAAGAGGUCAGAUGGAUGAAAGCCACUUCCGAGGAAUGCGCAGUGACCCAGGUCACACGUCACCCGCAGACACAUGACUGAGUUUGUCACCUGCUCCCUAGAGGGUACAAAAACUUACAUAAUCACUGCAGGGAAAGCACAGCUCCACUCUGUCACCGCACCUCCGGCAUUUAAAGUGGUACGCUACUUUGCAGAGUUUUAAAGUCCCUUUAGAGUAAAAGAUAUUGGGGGGGUUUGGUUAAUUGCCCCCUCCAUUGAGAGCUGCUGUGCUCCCUGAGUAUUCUACAGACAGCAGUUACAUUGUAAUGUCCAUAUCCCUUUAGACCUGUAGCCCAUGGAAUAACAUAGUGGGUGAAAUGGGCCCUGAAAGAGCUAGGGGCAGGCAUAGGAAGUAAUUGAGAAGGGGUUAGUAGGGAUGGGCUUAGGGGGAGUAUAAAAAAAAGAAAAAACGGUUGGCCCAACAACUUGUCUCAGUUUCUUAGGCCUAGAAAUUGAUUCAGUAGCAGGGGAAUGUCGCUUUCCAUCUGACAAGCUGGUCGCGCUUAGGGCAAAGGUGGCGUCUGUUCAAAUCACUUGGAAGCCUUAACUUUGCAUGUCGGGUGAUUCCCAUGGUGAGGGUUUUCAACCGGUUUAUGGCGAGGACCACAAGUGGGAUUCAAUCCCCUCACCAUUACGUUCGGGUCUCUAACUCCAUGAAGGGGGGAUUGGGACGCUUUUAGGUGGGACUUUAACGGUUGGGUUUUCUUUUGGGACCUGGUGACAUCCUCUGCAGAUCUCAAGUUGUUCACGGAUGAAUCUGGCAGUGUGGGCUUUGGUGCGUAUUUCGCUGAGCGAUGGUGUGCGGCCCAGUGGCCGGCAGAAUGGAUGGAGAAAAUAAUGAUGGAUAACCUGGCCUUUAUCGAGUUGUUCCCGUUGGUCGCUUUGUCAUUAUGGGGUGAAGACCUGAGAAACAAAUGGAUGGUCUUUUUCACAGAUAAUUUGGCUGUGGUUCAUGCCAUUAAUAGUCUGGUCGGCAUGCUCUGUUCCCGUAGUGCAUUUGCUUCAGCAUUUUGUGUUGUGCAUGUCUUUGAAUAUCGUGUUCCGGGCGUGACACAUGCCUGGCUAUCUGAAUGUGGUGGCUGAUGCGUUGUCUCGUUCACAGUGGGAGCGCUGUCGGAUGGUGGCUCCGGGUGCGCAAGAGGACGGAAUGUCCGGAGGAGAUGUGGACGUCCUGUGUGGAGGACUGAUAUGGCAGUCUUUAGCUCCAGGGACAUGGGCAGCUUACGUCAAAGUAUGGAGGUCUUGGGGUGUACUGGGGGGCAACAGUCCAGGGAAGGGCGUUUAGAUUCGCUCCUAUGGUUUAUGUGACAUCUGUUUGCUGGACAGGCACUAGCAUUUCUUUUCAAGUUUAAUGGAUAGGAAGACCUGACGAAACAUUUCCUCAUCAUGCAGGCUCCCAAAGGUUUUCGGAAGGGUAAGGCUUCGUUGGAUAGUAGACGUCCGGUAACGUCCUUCAGCGGUUGGUAAUGGCAUUACCUACAGUGUGUUUCUCGGGUUUCGAGGUGGUACAGUUCACAGUGGCUUUUGUGUGGGCUUUUAUCGGGGCAUUUCGGGUUGGAGAGCUGGUUAGUAGGAGCCGGGCAGGGGCAGGGGGGGUUCAGCUGUCAGGUGUUGAGAUAUCUCAGGAUAGGCUGCAGAUUCAGCUGUGCUGGUCCAAGACAAACGUGUUUGUGAAGGGGUGUUGGGUCAUGUUGUUUUCCUUGCCAGGGUCGGUCUUAUGCCUGGUUUCAUGUGCUAUGGCAUUUAGGAAGGUUCGUUCGGAAGUUGUGGGAUCGUUUUUGAUUGACGAAGACGGUCUUCUCUGUUGCGCUUCUAGUUUUUUGGGGGUAUUCUGAUUAGGUCUAUGGAGGUUGGGAUUGUACCCCCUAGAGUUUGGGACCUAUUCCUUCCGGAUAGGGGCAGCAACAGAGAUGUCCCACCUGGGCCUUGGUGAAGAUCUAGUCAAGCAGAUAGGACAGUGGGAAUCGAUACAUUUCGUUCUUACAUACCCCCUCAUCAGGUUGUUUAAGGAGGUUGGGGAUGUUUGGGUGAGGGGUUUGUUGUUCCACAAUGGUUAUGGUUUUUGUUCUCGUUUCAGGUUGGGUGGUAUGGUGGAUCGGCCACUCAUAAAAUUAAUAAAAUAAAG